GUCCACGCCGUAAACGAUGAGUGCUAGACGUCGGGAAGCUUGCUUUUCGGUGUCGCAGCUAACGCAUUAAGCACUCCGCCUGGGGAGUACGGCCGCAAGGUUAAAACUCAAAGGAAUUGACGGGGGCCCGCACAAGCGGUGGAGCAUGUGGUUUAAUUCGAUGCAACGCGAAGAACCUUACCAGCUCUUGACAUAUUGGGUUAUGGAUUCGAGAGAUCGAUUCCUUCAGUUCGGCUGGGCCCAGUACAGGUGCUGCAUGGCUGUCGU
rnacentral:rRNA from 1 species